AACCAUCAGGCCUCAGCGAGUGUCUCUGCUGCAGGAACACGCAGCUGCUGGAGAGAAGCCAGGAAUUGGGGUCCGUCUACACCGCCCGCUGUACACCACCUCUGGGUUGUUCCAGAAGGACUUCCUGAGAGUGCUGAGCGUUUGCUUGGGGGUGCGUGUCCUGCAGUGAGGAGCUCUAAAGAUGCUGAUCUGUUCUGUUGCGCACCCUGUGCCCAGCAGUGGAGUCCAGGACAAGUCGGUGUCUCAAAAUCCACCCAGAAAAGAGGGGAAAGUUCCCCGACCAGAGAUUGAACCCCAUGCGCUCGGCAGUGAAAGCGGCAAGUCCUAACCACCGGACCACCAGGGAGUUUCCGCUCAAGCAGAUUAACCCCCCAUCAGGUGAAAGGAGACCCAGAGCCCAUUCUGGGUAGGGGUGGAUUUACCAUGAGGCUGAUGAGGCUUAAGCUUGGAUCGCCCACAAGCAAGGACAGG